rnacentral:lncRNA from 1 species
AAUGAAAGCACCAAUGUUAUGAAACAAAAUUCUUAGAGUUCGAGGACUAAGAAACCUCCCAAGAAGAUAAGAUAAUGAAGAAUUGUUUAUUUCAUUGAUGAUUUAAAGAGAAGGAAUUACAACACAUAUAAAGGAAGGAAAUAAGGGAUAAUAACAACUUCCACAAUUACAAGGAUUAUUCAUUGCAAAGAUAUAAUCAUAUAAUCAAUUCUCUGACUCAUCAUGCUCUAGAAGGUCCUUGUUUGCUCAACACAUAAUCAUUCAACUUAAUUGGCAAUUUGAUAUUUCUUUUGGGCCUUCCCUGCACAGUUUCUGGCCCAACUAUAGGAAUGGUAGCUUCAGGCCCAAUUGUAGUAGAUGAGUUCAUAACAUGGCACCUGUAUCAGUUAAUCACCAAAAACUUUAGCAAGGUCUCCAAUAGUAUACCCAAUAUGUGGACUCUGUAUCGGUUACUCAUAUCGUUUCCAAUGUAGUGGACAAAUUGAAUAUACAAAAUUACUCUUUGGAGUAACUCUUUAGAAUGAAGGGAUAAGAUUUGUUACUCUUGGAGUCGAUAUAUCUCUCGUAA